rnacentral:rRNA from 1 species
GCAUAUCAAUAAGCGGAGGAAAAGAAACCAACCGGGAUUGCCUCAGUAACGGCGAGUGAAGCGGCAAAAGCUCAAAUUUGAAAUCUGCGUAAGCCGAGUUGUAAUUUGAAGAUGGCUACUUUGGUAAUGGCUCUUGUCUAUGUUCCUUGGAACAGGACGUCACAGAGGGUGAGAAUCCCGUGCGAUGAGAUGUCCAUUACCGUGUAAAGUGCUUUCGAAGAGUCGAGUUGUUUGGGAAUGCAGCUCUAAGUGGGUGGUAAAUUCCAUCUAAAGCUAAAUAUUGGCGAGAGACCGAUAGCGAACAAGUACAGUGAUGGAAAGAUGAAAAGAACUUUGAAAAGAGAGUGAAAAAGUACGUGAAAUUGUUGAAAGGGAAGGGCUUGAGAUCAGACUUGGUAUUUUGUAUGGCUUGCUCUCGGGCGGGUCCUCUGCAGUUUACUGGGCCAGCAUCGGUUUGGGUGGCAGGAUAAUAGCUUAGGAAUGUGGCUCUACUUCGGUGGAGUGUUAUAGCCUUUGUUGAUACUGCCUGCCUAGACCGAGGACUGCGUCUUUUGACUAGGAUGCUGGCAUAAUGAUCCUAAGCCGCCCGUCUUGAAACACGGACCAAGGAGUCUAACGUCUAUGCGAGUGUUUGGGUGUAAAACCCGUACGCGGAAUGAAAGUGAACGUAGAUGAGAGCCGUUUGGCGCAUCAUCGACCGAUCCUGAUGUCUUCGGAUGGAUUUGAGUAAGAGCAUAGCUGUUGGGACCCGAAAGAUGGUGAACUAUGCCUGAAUAGGGUGAAGCCAGAGGAAACUCUGGUGGAGGCUCGUAGCGGUUCUGACGUGCAAAUCGAUCGUCGAAUUUGGGUAUAGGGGCGAAAGACUAAUCGAACCAUCUAGUAACUGGUUCCUGCCGAAGU